rnacentral:rRNA from 1 species
UACAGAGGUCUCAAGCGUUGUUCGGAUUCAUUGGGCGUAAAGGGUGCGUAGGUGGCGGGGUAAGUCAGGUGUGAAAUUUCGGAGCUUAACUCCGAAACUGCAUUUGAUACUGCCUUGCUUGAGGACUGGAGAGGAGACUGGAAUUCACGGUGUAGCAGUGAAAUGCGUAGAUAUCGUGAGGAAGACCAGUGGCGAAGGCGGGUCUCUGGGCCGAUAUUGACGCUGAGG